rnacentral:rRNA from 1 species
CGGGGUGCAGCAGGCGCGAAAACUUUACAAUGCCGGCAACGGCGAUAAGGGAACCUCGAGUGCCAGGUUACAAAUCUGGCUGUCGUGAUGCCUAAAAAGCAUUGCAUAGCAAGGGCCGGGCAAGACCGGUGCCAGCCGCCGCGGUAACACCGGCGGCUCGAGUGGUAACCGUUAUUAUUGGGUCUAAAGGGUCUGUAGCCGGCCGGGUAAGUCUCUUGGGAAAUCUGGCAGCUUAACUGUCAGGCUUUCAGGAGAUACUGCCUGGCUCGAGGCCGGGAGAGGUGGGAGGUACUUCAGGGGUAGGGGUGAAAUCUUGUAAUCCUUGAAGGACCACCAGUGGCGAAGGCGUCUCACCAGAACGGACCUGACGGCAAGGGACGAAAGCUAGGGGCACGAACCGGAUUAGAUACCCGGGUAGUCCUAGCCGUAAACGAUACUCGCUAGGUGUCGGCCACGGUGCGACCGUGGUCGGUGCCGUAGGGAAGCCGUGAAGCGAGCCACCUGGGAAGUACGGCCGCAAGGCUGAAACUUAAAGGAAUUGGCGGGGGAGCACAA